UAAUAUGAUUCAUUUAUUUUUGUAUGAUUUCUUUCUUUCUUUGGGUUGAGAAGAAUUUCCCUGCAUUAGUCAUGUUCUGGGUUCAGCUAUCAUUACAGCAGCAGUGACAACAGCUGACAUAGGAAAAUGUCAUGGUCCCAGGGGCAGUACCAGUGUGGUUUGUUAUUGGUGUCUAGAUGACGCUUUUAGUUCCCUGAUGUUUUGUAUAAUUCAAGGUGGAGAUAAAACAUUUCUAAAAAUCUCAGAAGCAGGCAUCAUCUAACCCAAAGCCGUGAACAAUAGCACCAGACACUUUAUAGUUGUGUUUCAGUUGUCGUGAAGCUAGGUUGUGGAUCUCCAGAUAUAAGUGAGAUGCACUACCAUGGUGAAUUUUCUAACACAUGUGGUCACACAUUGCUAUCACAAGUGAUGCUUCUGUCCCCAAUAGAUUUGAAAAAUAUUUUGGGUCAGAAGGUAAAGCCCUUGGCAUGUUGGGAUUCCAGAGAGACGCACCUGUCUAGAUGUGUUAGCUUCUCAGCCGUGAUAAAGCAUCUGAGAGAACACGCUUACUAAGGAAAAGGUCUACUUUGGGUUUCAAUCCUGGUCACUUGGUCCUGUUGCACUGGGCCAGUGGUGAGGCAGCAUGUUGUAUUGGGUGCACAUGGCGGCUAAGAAGCCACACCCCCUUCAAGGCCCAACAACCUAACUUCCUCCCACUCACAGACUGGGGAUCCAGCCUUGACCACAUGGCCUUUGAGGCACUUACCCGAAUCACAGCAUUUGCUGUGUCUUAUCACUCACUUCAUAGCCACAGUCUGUAAGUAUCACGUCAUGGAAGGAGGAGCUUCCAGAGGUGAAUCUUCAGGGCACUCACUCUGAGGAGGGUGGCAGCAGCUCUGUGGAUGCUUAAACAUCAUUAGGAGGUUAGCCGGAAGAAUGCCCUGCUUCCCUCUGAGUGUACCGAAGCUAAUCUCUGCAGUUAAAGCUUCCCUCUAUCCCUGUGCCCAUCUCUCCUGUUUCUGUGGAUUCCAAGACACUGACUGACUGGAAGUCACAGACAUCUCCCCACCCCAACAUGUUGACAGUGCUAUGGCAUUUUUGUGAGAGAAUGCACCCAUGUGGGGUGUAUGGAGCCAGUGGGAUUGGAUAUGUGCAAGGUCACUCUCUCUGCAUUCAGCCACUGUUAAGAUCCAUACCAGUGGAUCUGCAUAGAGCAGAAAGGUUGCCGUGUUUGCUAUCUGAGGUUAUCUGCUGAAAUACACGAGUGUGAGUAUAGUGGGUUGUUCUAAGAUGACAGUUCCAGUGGGAAACAAGGGAGAACACAAGAGUCCUCAGGUGCAGCCCACUGUUGCUUCUGUAUCUCAGAGGAUGGGGUCUGUGAUGGAGGGUGCUGGGGAUUGCUGCCACAGUGCCUAGAAAGCAUGAUUGAAGUGAGUUGAACCACCUGCUAGACCCUUGAGGUUAAUAGUAUAAAGAGACCAGAGACCCAGAGAACUCAUUAGGACAUAGCAGAGCCGUGGCUGGAAACCACUCAUCCAUUUAAUUUACCAGAUGCUCAUACAGCUAGAGCAUCCCAAAUAGAAACAUUUCACUUUUGCUUUAUUUCUUCAUUAGUCUAAUUCCCACCAAUUUAGGAACAUUGUAGCAAGGGAGAUGUUUCAAUAAGCUCUGUCAGGGAGGCUUUAAAGAAGAGCUGGAGGAGCACAGGCAGCCUCUGCAGUCAGUGACACUGGGGCGAGACAUUGCCAGGAAGGUGUCUGAGUUGCUGAGGUGUGGGAACGUCUAUGGGGAGCAUCUCUAUAAUUUAUUUUCUAGAGUUUUACCACCCAUUUCUUAGGUGGUGGGAAUUUAGCAAUGGACUGUGUGGGCCAGUCUCUCAAGAAACAGGGCAAGAGGAUAAUGACUUUAUGCAAAACCUUAGAUGCAUAUGCCUUGUAAAGAGGUAAAGAGGGUCUCAUUCCUUGGAGGUCUUUGUUCCUAAAAUGAGAGCUCAGAGUGCUGGAGGGAUGGCCCAGGCAGUGGUUAGGAGUACUGGCAGCUUGUGCAGAGGGGCCUUGGUUUUAGUUCCCAGCACCCACAUGACUCACAACCAUCUUAACUGCUGUCCCAGUGGAUCCUCACACCUAGCUCAGUCCUUGUCAUUAGCUCUGAGGCUCAGCAUACAAAGCACCCCGUUGGAGGUGUGUAUACUGAGACAGUGUGUGUCGGGCUAUCCUGGAACUCAUUAUGUGGUCCAGAUUGCCUUUGAGUUCUCAGAGAUCUGCUUGCCUCUGGCUCCCGAAUUAAAGGUGAACACCACAAUGCCCAGCUAAAUGGCAGCUUUUAAUUAAGUUGGAGUGUAAGCGGGUUUUCAUGGUGGCAAGUUUGGAAGUGAGCGGAGAGAGGGCACACAGCAAGUAAAGGUGUGCUUGUCUCUACAUCACUGGCCUGCAGGAUCUGUUCACGGGCAAACUUCUGCUCCCCUGCUAAGGGCAUGCUCUGUCACACACCCCUGAGGGGCACAGAUAUUGCAAAUGUGAUCUUUUGAGUCAGGCCUGGGUGGCAUUCCAGGUUUUCAUUUAUCCAGAGUGUGUGACCAUGGGUAUAUUAUUGAGCCACUUUGGUCUCCAUUUCCCUCAAAUGAUAGAGCUUGCCUCGCCUGACAAUACUCACCAACUGCACAUGCAAUGCAUGGAGCCUCCUCCGCUCUUAACAGCUCUAGAGAGACUCCUGGAUGCUUCCUGGGGUUGAGUCUUCAUUCCGAGCACAGUGGGCUGCUCUCUCCUCUGCAUGGAUCUUAUCUUCCCUUAGACCCUGUCAAUCUCCCCAAAAGCCGUCAGCGUGACCAGGACUGCGGUUAAGAGUAUUAAAGUCAGUCCAGGGCGUCUGUUUUAGGGAAGAGUGUGUGUGAGCGUUUAAGGGUCUAGUCACACUUCUGCUUCUGCAGCUCAUGGAUGCUGAGAUGCAGGGGUGGAAAGGAAUGGCUGGGAUGGAUUGGAGGUAUCGUGGGGGGCUCAGCCAGCCUAGGUUUCUCACAGGGUGGCUCUGUGCCAAUUCUAAUGCAAAAGCUGAGGGCCAGUCCCAGGCCAGGGCAGCACGCUCACUAGCUCUCCUCAUCAGACUGCUGGGAAUGGAGACUUAGGACUGUAUCCACCCACUCCCAGGGUUGACAUGGCUUGAGCUGCUGGCUGUGAGGCCAACAAAAACCUGCUGUGGUGGGAUUGUGCUUGCCACCUGAGGUGCCAACUUUUUCAAACUGUCCUUGGAUCUGAUUGGUUU
rnacentral:lncRNA from 1 species